rnacentral:lncRNA from 10 species
ACCCAACCCAGCUCCCAAGCAACCCAAAGGGCCAGUCUCACUCCCACCAUGCCCACCCCCACAACAGCACCAAGUCUGUUUCCAGGUAGUGGGCAAACAGGAAGUUACCCCAGGCUACCCACCUCCCAGCUGCAAAAGUAAGUAGGGCAUUCCUUCUUCCCCUGCCUGUGGAGUCUGUACGCCAGAUUCACCCCCUCCCCAGAGUUCUGGCCAGGAGACUUCUCGAUUGGUUCAAAUUGUUACAAAGUUCAGCUGGAGGUUUCCUUCUCCCUGUGGCCUUUUCCCAGUGCCUCUGGCAGCCCUCCUCAAGGACACCUGUGAGGCGAGGCAGAAAGGGCCUUCUAGGGGAUCCAGCAAGCCCGCAGGGAUUUUCCUGCUGCUUCCUGUACCCCUGUAUUUCUCUCAGUUCUCUAAACUGACCCAGCUCCAAGUAAGCCCUUGAACCUGCUUGCCUCAGUAACCAUGGCAAGUCCAGAUGGCUGCCUUAGGAUCAGAUGUAAACCUUGGAGAAACCAGCUGUGGCCAGUAUGUCAAGUUUAAGCAGACAAAUGAAGGUGACCUGUGGUGGGAAUACACAUUUUGAAACUGAAAAGAGAUGGUAUGUGGGGAUGUACGGAGAACUUGUUGGAGUCUCUGUUGUGGACAACGCUUUAUGUGGUUUCAAGCUUCACAUACAAAAAAAAAGAAGGAAAGUGGCAGCACCCAAAAAAGAUCAAAACAAGGCAAGGAUCUCUGCUCUCGACCCAUCUAUUCAAUAUUGAACUAGAGGUCCCAGAUGGUGCAAUAAGGAGUGAACAGACCAGCAUCAGCAUCAAGUUCCUGGUUUCCCAGAAGGAUACUUCUGAGUCACAACAGCAAAACCAGCAGUUGUCCCAAGCACAAGGCUAGGAUUCUCUCACCUUCCUCAGAGGAAUCCAUCAGACAAAAUGAAAGGCAGUUAUAUAAACAUUCAGAGUAAACAUUCAAUUGUCCUUCUGAUUAUGUUGAACACACACACACAUACACACAUGCACACACAAAGUGGUCAGAGGGCAUGGAAGCUUUUCAGGAAAGACUUGUAAAUUUAACAAGCACAACUUCAAACAAAGCGUUUCAUAUUAGACUGCAGAAUCCAGUGAAGAAUCUGCAGGAUUAGUGUUAAUUUAAUAAAUAGUGCUGCUCUGCCCCUCUGUGGGAAUACUGAGAAGUGCAUGAGAAGAUGCACAGAAUUCAGAAUCAACUAAUACAGAUACCAUUAGUUAGAGAAAGAGGCUAAGUACAAAUAAAAUCCAGAGGCUUCUCUUCUAAUACGAAAUCCAUGCCAAAUAUUUAUAUUUUCUGAGUAUAGUGUCACUAGAUGCAAAACGAUAAGAUAUAAAUGACUUGGAACGUGAUUUGCAAAUGUCAGUUUUAAAUUCAUCUACUUUUAAAGUUGAAUUCAAUGUAUCUAUAUACUUAUUUUCUAUUUCUUCCACGUGAAAUGUCACUCGGUGGUGUAUAAAACAUGGUUACAAGUUUAAAAGUGAAACACAGGGAUAACAGUGAUAAUUAACAUUGAUUGAGUGAUUGCUAUAUAUCAGGCACCAGGCAAAUAUUAAUUCUUUUAAUCUUCAUACACAACACUCUGAGGGAGACAGGAAACCUCAUGGUAUACAGGACACCUCAAAGACCUUUAGGUAAAUACAUAAGCCCAAGACCACUUCUCAAGUGAGAGUCAGAAUCCAAGUCCAAGUAUCCUACCUCCCAGUGCAGCAUUUAUUUCACUUACACAAAGAUGUUUGGUUCACAGCCCUGAAGAGAAACCAUUUACCAGACUAACCUUGAUUAAGAAAUGUCUAUCAAAACUGAAUAAACAGAAAGUAUUGCAACUGCAUCUGACAAUUACAUGUUUUCUUCCUACUGUUUUUAAUAUUGAAAGAAAAAGAUGCUGACAAAAUUAUGAAAAAAAAGCAUGACAAUUAUUUAUUCCAUUAUAUAUUAAGCAGGCUCACUUUAAAAUAAGUUGAUUAGCAUUAAAGUCUUAUCUGAAGGCCCA